AUCUAUGGCCAUAUCACCCUGAUCCUGGAAGCUAAGCAAGGUUGGGCCUGGCCAGUACUUGGACGUGAGAUGACCUGGGAAUACUGGAGUACUGUAGACU
ensembl:rRNA 5S_rRNA 5S ribosomal RNA